CCCACUUUCAUAUAUCACAAAAAUCGACUGAAAUGGCCAAGUUAUUGGGUCCUCUUCCAAACUAUACCUUCAUUUUCCUAUCUUUCCUCCUCCUGGUUUACUCCGGGACGCAAAUGGUGGAAGCACAGGUUUGCUCGAGGCCAAGUCAAACAACGGGAGUAAUUACUUGUCCGAGCAAUUUGCUUUGCGACCGACGAUGCAGGGACAUUGAAGGUGCCAUGUAUGGUGCGUGUCAGCCCCGACUCCUAGGGUCGACAUGUUUAUGCUACGUUAGAUGCUGACCAUCAUAGCAUCUAUGUAUGAAUGAAGAUUGCACCACGUCCAACCUUCAUCUUAUGUAGGGAUACAACUCAGUACUACUCAUGCCACUGUUAUGUUUUACUAUCUGAAUAAAACCGGUGCGAUUACUAUUA